GGAGUUAGCCGGUUGCUUCUUCUGUGAGUGAUGUCCUUCCUGCCGGCUAUUAACCCGCAGGCCUUCUUCCUCACUGAAAGUGCUUUACAACCCGAAGGCCUUCUUCACACACGCGGCAUGGCUGGAUCAGGGUUGCCCCCAUUGUCCAAUAUUCCCCGACUGCUGCCUCCCGUAGGAGUCUGGGCCGUGUCUCAGCCCCAGUGUGGCUGAUCAUCCUCUCAGACCAGCUACGGAUCGUCGCCUUGGUGAGCCGUUACCUCACCAACCAGCUAAUCCGACAUAGGCUCAUCCGAUAGCGCGAGGCCCGAAGGUCCCCCGCUUUCCCCCGUAGGGCCGUAUGCGGUAUUAGCCCUGGGUUUCCCCCAGGUUAUCCCCCACUACCCGGGCAGAUUCCUAUGCAUUACUCACCCGUCCGCCGCUCGCCACCAGGGAGCAAGCUCCCCGUGCUGCCGCUCGACUUGCAUGUGUUAGGCCUGCCGCCAGCGUUCAAUCUGAGCCAGAAUCGAACCCUGA
rnacentral:rRNA from 1 species